ACGAACGCUGGCGGCGUGCUUAACACAUGCCAGUCGAACGGAAAGGCCCUGCUUUUGUGGGGUGCUCGAGUGGCGAACGGGUGAGUAACACGUGAGUAACCUGCCCUUGACUUUGGGAUAACUUCAGGAAACUGGGGCUAAUACCGGAUAGGAGCUCCUGCUGCAUGGUGGGGGUUGGAAAGUUUCGGCGGUUGGGGAUGGACUCGCGGCUUAUCAGCUUGUUGGUGGGGUAGUGGCUUACCAAGGCUUUGACGGGUAGCCGGCCUGAGAGGGUGACCGGCCAAAUUGGGACGGGGAUACGGCCCAGACCCCUACGGGGGGCAGGAGGGGGGAAUUUUGCACAAGGGGGGGAAGCCUGAGGCAGCAACGCCGGGGGGGGGGUGACGGCCUUCGGGUUGUAAACCGCUUUCGCCUGUGACGAAGCGUGGGUGACGGUAAUGGGGAAAGAAGCACCGGCUAACUACGU
rnacentral:rRNA from 1 species